AGUGCUGUUCCAGACCCAAUACAGACAAAAUGUCCAGCAGGGGUGGAAAGAAGAAGUCAACCAAGACUUCCCGCUCCGCAAAGGCUGGGGUCAUAUUCCCUGUUGGAAGAAUGCUACGUUACAUUAAGAAAGGCCAUCCGAAGUACAGAAUUGGUGUUGGUGCUCCGGUGUACAUGGCUGCUGUACUGGAAUAUCUGACUGCGGAAAUUCUUGAAUUGGCUGGAAAUGCAGCAAGGGACAACAAGAAGGGUCGAGUCACUCCUAGACACAUCCUGUUGGCUGUAGCAAAUGAUGAAGAAUUAAAUCAGCUAUUGAAAGGGGUCACCAUAGCCAGUGGUGGAGUGUUACCCAAUAUUCACCCAGAGCUGUUGGCAAAGAAGCGGGGAUCAAAAGGAAAACUGGAAGCCAUCAUUACUCCACCCCCAGCAAAGAAGGCAAAGUCUCCAUCACAGAAAAAAACUGUAUCAAAGAAAACAGGCGGCAAGAAAGGGGCAAGGAAAUCCAAGAAGAAGCAGGGAGAAGUGAGCAAAUCAGCCAGUGCUGACAGUACAACAGAGGGAACUCCUGCAGAUGGUUUCACAGUCCUGUCCACCAAAAGUCUCUUUCUUGGCCAGAAGCUGAACCUUAUUCACAGUGAAAUCAGUAAUUUAGCCGGCUUCGAGGUGGAGGCCAUUAUCAAUCCUACCAAUGCUGACAUUGACCUUAAAGAUGACCUAGGGAGCACUUUGGAAAAGAAAGGCGGCAAGGAGUUUGUGGAAGCUGUCAUUGAGCUUCGCAAAAAGAACGGGCCAUUGGACAUAGCUGGAGCUGUUGUCAGUGCUGGCCACGGAUUGCCCGCGAAAUUUGUGAUCCACUGUAAUAGCCCGGGCUGGGGCUCCGACAAAUGCGAGGAGCUGCUGGAAAAGACGGUGAAGAACUGCUUGGCUCUGGCUGAUGAAAAGAAGCUGAAAUCAAUUGCGUUUCCUUCAAUUGGCAGUGGCAGAAACGGCUUCCCAAAGCAAACGGCUGCUCAGCUGAUCCUGAAAGCCAUCUCCAGCUAUUUUGUGUCAACAAUGUCCUCUUCAAUCAAGACGGUGUACUUCGUGCUCUUUGACAGUGAGAGUAUAGGGAUAUACGUGCAGGAAAUGGCCAAACUCGAUGCCAACUAAGCCCGGAGCGCUACAGUACCAGCCCCCUCGCCUGUCCUGCCCAAAUCCUUAACUCGUCGUGAAGCGGAGCAUCCCUUAUUUUAAAUUUUGCUCAUCUAGGGGAAUAAAGAAGUCCAGGUACCUGCAGCUUUCACCUGGACAGCUGUAGAGGACCAGCAGAAGGCAAAUUCUAACACAGCAGUGUUAUUCUAAACAAGGACUCAAAGCUGAAAGGAGGGAGAGGAAAUUAAUUUUGCGUCUCCGAUACGUGAGGUGUUUGACCAUGCCACGGGCUCAAACUUGAAAUUUUUAAAUGGCCAGAAUGCAUCCGGAUCAUUGGUCAAAGGCAGCGGACGGAACACGGUGCAGUGCUCCAGCACCUCACGGCCAGGUGGGCGCUCGCCACGGUUGCCCCCGUUCUUACCAAGGAAACGGCACCUGCGCUUCCCACAAGUCUCACAAGGUGUCACUAAAAGGACGGAAAAAAUAGAAAAAAGCACGGCUGAGCCGGUACCUUGGGGAUCGCUGGGUGUGAGAAGGGCCCUCAUUUUUUCAGCAGAGAAGGGGAUUUUUAACAGAGAAGGAAUGUGCACAUCAGCGUGAGCGCACGGAUCGCAGGUUCUCGGUCUCCUCGCGCCGCAGCAUUUACGACACUGAAUCAAGCCUCACUGCUUUAAAGUCUCCGCAUUUUUAUGUCAGCAACAGGAAAAAUAAAUGUGUUUGUCCACAAGUAUUUUCAAAGUAGUUAAAAGCACAGUGGCCUUCGAUAAACCCGGCUUCUACACUGCUGCACCGCGCCGGGAGGGCCGGCUUUUGUCCAUCAACGAGAAAAUCCCAGAGCAAACAACUGUAAUUCCCAUCACGCGGGCUUACUUCUUCUGGCCUCGUAUCUCAUCUGCUCAGUCAGCUGCU